CCCGCUGAACUUAAGCAUAUCAAUAAGCGGAGGAAAAGAAACCAACAGGGAUUGCCCUAGUAACGGCGAGUGAAGCGGCAACAGCUCAAAUUUGAAAUCUGGCGUCUUCGGCGUCCGAGUUGUAAUUUGCAGAGGGCGCUUUGGCAUUGGCAGCGGUCCAAGUUCCUUGGAACAGGACGUCACAGAGGGUGAGAAUCCCGUACGUGGUCGCUAGCCUUUACCGUGUAAAGCCCCUUCGACGAGUCGAGUUGUUUGGGAAUGCAGCUCUAAAUGGGAGGUAAAUUUCUUCUAAAGCUAAAUACUGGCCAGAGACCGAUAGCGCACAAGUAGAGUGAUCGAAAGAUGAAAAGCACUUUGGAAAGAGAGUUAAAAAGCACGUGAAAUUGUUGAAAGGGAAGCGCUUGCAGCCAGACUUGCCUGUAGUUGCUCAUCCGGGUUUCUACCCGGUGCACUCUUCUACGGGCAGGCCAGCAUCAGUUUGGGCGGUUGGAUAAAGGUCUCUGUCAUGUACCUCUCUUCGGGGAGAACUUAUAGGGGAGACGACAUGCAACCAGCCUGGACUGAGGUCCGCGCAUCUGCUAGGAUGCUGGCGUAAUGGCUGUAAGCGGCCCGUCUUGAAACACGG
rnacentral:rRNA from 1 species